AUCAACUUUCGAUGGUAGGAUAGAGGCCUACCAUGGUGGUAACGGGUAACGGGGUGUUAGGGCACGACACCGGAGAGGGAGCCUGAGAAACGGCUACCACAUCCAAGGAUGACAGCAGGCGCGCAAAUUACCCAAUCCCGACACGAGGAGGUAGUGACAAUAAAUAACAAUACGGGGAUAACAAUACGGGGUUCUUUCGGAUCUCGUAAUUGGAAUGAGUACAAUUUAAAUCUCUUAACGAGGAACAAUUGGAGGGCAAGUCUGGUGCCAGCAGCCGCGGUAAUUCCAGCUCCAAUAGCGUAUAUUAAAGUUGUUGCAGUUAAAAAGCUCGUAGUUGAAUUUCGGGGUUAGUAAGUUGGUCGUGCCUUCGGUAUGUACUGGCUUUACUGAUUCCUCCUUCUUGACGAACCGUGAUGUCAUUAAUUUGGUGUUGCGGGAAAUCAGGACUGUUACUUUGAAAAAAUUGGAGUGUUUAAAGCAGGCUAACGCUUGAAUACAUUAGCAUGGAAUAAUGAAAUAGGACGUUAAUCCUAUUUUGUUGGUUUCUAGGAUCGACGUAAUGAUUAAUAGGGAUAGUUGGGGGCAUUAGUAUUCAAUUGUCAGAGGUGAAAUUCUUGGAUUUAUUGAAGACUAACUACUGCGAAAGCAUUUGCCAAGGAUGUUUUUAUUAAUCAAGAACGAAAGUUAGGGGAUCGAAGACGAUCAGAUACCGUCGUAGUCUUAACCAUAAACUAUGCCGACUAGGGAUCGUGUUAAUUUUUUUAUGACUCAUUCGGCGCCUUACGGAAACAAAGUGUUGGUC
rnacentral:rRNA from 1 species